GUUGCUCCUAGUACGAGAGGACCGGAGUGAACGAACCGCUGGUGUUCGGGUUGUCAUGCCAAUGGCACUGCCCGGUAGCUACGUUCGGAACGGAUAACCGCUGAAAGCAUCUAAGCGGGAAGCCGGCCACAAGAUGAGUCAUCCCUUGGACUUUGAGUCCACUAAAGGGUCGUUGGAGACCACAACGUUGAUAGGUGAGGUGUGGAAGCGCUGUGAGGCGUUAAGCUAACUCAUACUAAUUGCCCGAGAGGCUUAACCAUACAACGCCAAAG
rnacentral:rRNA from 1 species